GCCUUUAUGGUGUAGUGGUCAGCACACUCGGUGCAUAUUCAGGAGGUCUGUGGUUCGAGUCUCGGUAAGGGCA
rnacentral:tRNA from 1 species